GGUAGCUCCUCUCUUCCUCAAAGCCCCAAACCAACGAUCUCUGCCAGCACCUUUCUCCGUAUGCUGUGUUCUAUUGUAGGAAACAGAUUAGCACUGUAUUAUGUCAUCAUCUGUCUAGUUUAGUGUCUGUGUCCCAUAGGGGCUCCUUUCCACGUUAAUAUGGACUACUACUCGACAGGUGAAGGGAUGCUGAUGAGAACUUAUCAUGUGUGUGUGUACACACACGAGCACAUGCAUGUCUGAGAUUCAUCUGCAGUGUUGUUUAUAUGUCUUUUUGCGACAGGGUCUCCUGUUGAACCUGAGGUCACGUCUCAGCCACCUCCCUGCCCCUAGCUCUGACAUCACAGACAGAGGCCUUCAUUCCCAUUAUGUCACCACAUCCAGCUUUUUACUCCAGGGUCUGGGACGGACCUCAGGCUCUCAGACUUUGCACCGGAUGCACUUGCCUGACGGAGCCAUCUCCCUGGCCUCGGCAGGACACCUUCGAAUGGCUCCCAGGACAGUGCUCUGGGGCUGUUUUAAGAGGUGUCUGCACAGACGAGUGAUGGAGAACACUAGGAAACCUAAGAAAGGACUCUCUCACACUGUCAGGAUAGCCUCCAUUUAUUCCCCUUCUGCUUCGGUCUCCCACACCCUGGGACUGUACGAUGCGAUCAGCCUGUGCUCAGGUCUACGUUACUUCAUAGUAUGCUACUUGGUGUCUUUUUAAAAAGCUGCAUGCUGCCCUGAGAUACUGUUUUACAAGCCAUGUUUGACAACGUGUUAAGUGAAAAACAGAAGCAGGGAUCAGACAGCUGGAGAUCUCCAGACUGACUCCUGGGCUUUAGGCUCAUCUCGUUGCCCCACUGUUGAAAUGGUCAACUCAAGUUGCCUACUCAGUUGACUAUCUGGUACUGGUUCUGGACUUGUCUCUACAGCAUCCAGGGUUUUACACCUUGCCUGGGCAGCUGACCCGGACUCUGAAGCUCAACACAACUCCAAGCACAUGGCUUGACCCAACAACUGCAGACUGGUAAAGGUUUAUUAUGUAACACCAUAGAUUUCCUCUUAUUUUCAGACACUCCCUGUACUCUGCUAUGGCCUAUUGUACCCAUUCGGCAACACACAGACAAAUGCAUGAACACACACACACACACACACACACACACACACACACACACGGCCUAAGAAUUAAAUAUUAGUAGUUAUGAUCAGAAUAAAGAAUCUGUAUUUUCCAAAGGCCAACUAUUGAGGAAAAUAAGGACUACUAGUCAAAUUGUCAAAAGACACAAACAUGUCUUUUUCUGCUCAUGGUAGUGUGCCACUACAUUUAAUUCCUUAUAUAUUUUAUGUAUGCUCAUAAAAAUCUUUUAGAAGGGAAACUAUGCUGAACAAGACAUGAAUUUUUUAAACAAGGCCCUUUGGUUUGUUGAUUUAUCUACUGUACAUGAGUACACUGCAGCUGUCUUUAGAUACACCAGAAGAGGGCAUUGGAUAUCAUUUCAGAUGGUUGUGAGUCACCAUGUGGUUGCUGGGAAUUGAACUUAGGAACUCUGGAAGAGCAGUCAGUGCUCUUAACUGCUAAGCCAUCUCUUCAGCACCUAACUAAGGCCUUAGUUUCCAUUUUGUAAAAUAUUUGGGUCAAUGUUAACACUGCAAAAAAUUACCCGUGGUUGCUAACUCAGCAAGCAAUGGGUGUUACCAUCUUUAUACUACAAUAGGUAAAAUAACACAGCAUUUGAAUUUGGUUGUGUGUGAGGCUCAGCCUUUACUUGUUUUACUAGUCAUGUGCAUUUUUACAUGAGUAGAAUUUUUUAACCAUUGUUCAUUGAUUUGUCAAGAUUUCAAUGUUUUCAGUAUCCAUUUGUUUAAGUCUUUUGAUGUUAGAGUUAAAUUUUAAAUUGAUUUCAUUUUGUUUUGAAAUUAUUUUGAUGCAUAGAAACUUAAACCAUAUUAAGAUCAAAUAAUUAUGUACUUUCAUUGAAAAUAUUCCUUCUGAUGGAUAAAUGCAGAGGUGUCUAAGUCGAGGCCUGGGCUGUUAGCAGUUAAGGACAGCUGUGAGUGGGCCUAAAACAAAGUCACAAACUUAAAGUGUUAUCAGGUUUUUUUUUCUCAAUUUUCUUUUCUAACUUGAAUACACUAGGCAUGUUCUACCAAUAACCUACAUCCCUAGACCCAUUUUUAUUUUUAAUUCUGAGACAUUGUUUCACUAAAUGUUCAGUCUGCCUUUGAAUUCACUCCAUGGUUCAGGAAGGCCUUAAAUCCGCUUGCCUCGGUCUUCUGAGCACCUUGAGUUCUAUGCUUAGGCUGCCAGAUCUAGCUUUGCCUGGGGAGUUUUAUGUUGACUCUGGAUAUAUAGGUUGUACAUGCACACGCACACACACACAAGUCAAUCAUUUACUGAUGGUGAAUCACAAAAAAUGUUUAAAGCAAUUCUUUGGUAUACAUAUAUUUAUUAAAGACAAAUUUGCAUACUAGUUAGACAGAUGUACUUUUUUUUUUUUUUUCAUUAAGAACUAAAUUCUGGGACUAGAGAGAUGGCUUCAAGGUUAAGACCACUUUUUGCUCUUACAGAGGACCUGGGUUCAAUUCCCAGUACCCCCUUGGUGGCUCAUGACCAUUUGUAACUCUAAGUUCAGGAGAUCCAGUGCCCUUUUCUGACUUCUGCCAGCAUGAGGCACACACAGGGUGCACACAUAUAUAUGCAGACAGGCCAAAUAUUCAUUUUGGUAAAAUACACAAAUAUUUGUUCUCUGAAUUUGAGACUGCAGAACACACUUUUUUCAACAUUUUCCCAGAGUUAAUACUUUAAUUUUACAAUUACAGUGGCUGAAAACUCUGCUUCACACCAACACAUAGUACAAAAUUGCAGAAGUAAGUUUAAGACCAUUUUAGAAAGUGCUAAAAUUCUGUCCCCUAAUCCCAAUUCAAAAUUCACUUAACAAUUUUAGAGAAAACUGAAGUUAGCAAGUCAAGCAAGAAGGUUAAAAAAAACAAACAUUAUAGACUAAUUUGGUACAAAGAUACAUUAACCUGAUACUUAAUAUGCUGAGAAAGAUGAUAGGAAACCCUCAAACCUUUGGUUUCUGUCUGUCUACUGUCCUUCUUUCAUGACAGAAAAGUUUAUAUCACAGUAGGAACACACAAUAGUGCUAAAAGUGAGCAGUGGUGUUUCAGGCAGCAUUUGUUAUGGCAUGAAGGCCUGAACAGUACAAACUGCUCAGAUUAAAAGGUUACAUUUAUGUUGUGAAAUAUGGCAUGGAUGUAUGCUACCAUAUACCUCAGAUUCACUGGCGGUGGGGGAUACCUCAAAUUUAUUAACAUGUUCUAUUCUGAGUUAGUUUUUGGUCACUGCACAGUCAGAAGCCUUGUGCUACUAACAACUCUUGAAUUCCCUGGGUGUAGUUAUGUGCGUCCCUAUAAUGAAUGGGUCACAACCCACAGUUUAAGAAGCUAUGAAUUAGAAUACUCAACACACUACAGCUGUCUUCCCUGCUGGACUGUGAGCUGAGCAGGGCAUCCUUUUAUCCUUGCAUGUUAUACACAUAACAGUAUAGAAUCUGGCAGAUUUUCCAUUGACAUUUGCUGAAACCCUGCAUGAAGGGACCACAUAACAUGAGCCAGUGGUUCAAGUUUGUGUGGUAUAUGGAAGAAGCCGUUAUGUCCACAUGGGCUCUUCAGUCGCCAUCAGAACAGACUAUGAAGAAGACCUCACAGCCUGCGGAGUACAAGGAAGCAGCUUGUAGAAUUAAUCAUUAUUUCCUAAAUGUGAGGAAGAUUCAAGUCCAGGAACUCCACAAUCUCAAGACUAAUACUGAAGACUUCAAAAUAGAGCUGCCCACUGUGAUCUAUAAAACAGGACACACUUUAUAGGAACCGAGAAACAGCUGUUUCCCAGUUUCUGUUUUAAAAGGGGAACCAGGUAACAGGGCUCAAGGGUACAUCCUAAGCAUACAGGGGAAAUUUAUUUGCUUAGCGAAACGUGACAUGGAGCUGGCAAAGGGCGUGGUUUGUAUGACAACGUCCUGGUUUGUGAAAUGAAGAGGAUAAGAAGGGCAGGAGGAGUCACUUCAGCACCAGGAUUAAAGAGAAAGGAAACACCAAUAAACACAGGAGGAGGAAAAAGAGACACGAGGGAGGUUGAAACUGAAGAGAGCUGUAUGUACUCCAGGGAAGACACUCACUGGAAGACCCACGAAUCACUCACAGUCACAAUGACUUCAGCUAAACAAAGUUUACAUGAAGACGACACUGAUCUAGACAGAAGAACAGAAACUGAAAUCCUGGUCACCAGUAGCAGCAUGAAUACCGAGUUUCGCUGUGCACCACGGGAGGGGUUUUUACAGAAGCAUAUCUGGGAAAUAUAUUAAGAGUCCAGGGGAGAAUUUUACACUGCUUGGAUAUACUUAGAAGCAGGUAACAGACAAAGAAGCAUGUUUAAACAUUUCAUUGACAUUUUCAUGCUUAAACUUUACUAGCAUCGAUAUUUUUAGUAUAACCAAGCAUUUGUUGAAGUGAAAGGAGCACACAUCUGUAUUAUGCACCAUAUUCUUUCAAGUGGCAGUUGGCAGCCAGCACUCUUUAGCAUUUCCUAAAAGCAUACAAUUAUUAUUAUUUGGGGAAAAUGACCUAAUUCUUUCUUUAAAAGAACAAGGCUAAUGUUGUUUUCCUUCAAUUCUGUUUUCCUUCUCUCCUUCCUAUGACUUACGAUGAAAGUAUUCAUUGUGGCCAAUAUGAAUAUGAACUCAUUCACCCCUUAGAUAUUUAAUAGGCACCUGUUACAUGCCUGGUGCUCUGCUGUGCCUUAAGGUAGCCAGAAAAAACAAGACACUGCUCUUACUCUGAGAAACUGACAAUAUAGAGGAAAAGGUCGGGGGUGCAGGCGAUUGAGACAUGGCGUGGGACUACAGUGGUGGACAAAAGACGAGGCUGGCUGUCAGGAGCGUGCAGUUGUGUUGAUUAAAGGAUGUACUGAGAGUUAUCUAAGCUGGAAGACCUGUAUGCAUACUGCUCAUUAAAAUUCAGGUCUACAUACAAAAGGAAAGGUAACUCACUGUAUGGUAAUUUAAAAAUUAAGAUAUACAGUGUAGGAGAUGCUCAUGAACAGAGAUCUGAUGCCAAAGGGCAUCUUCAUACAACCAAAGACCACAGCAAUGGCAAGAUUACCUGGAUCUGAAAGCAUUGUCAAGAAAAAGCACAGAGUAUACUCAUGUUCUUGACUCAAAAAUGAUUUUGGGCCCCUUAAAAAAGCGGAAGGGCAGCAAGCAGUUCCCAGUGAGAGCCCACGGCUGCUCCUGACACCCACAGCUCCGACGACUCAAAGGCCACUCCUCUUACUCUCUGCCCAGGUUUCUUAAUUUUCCCCCAGACAGAGCCACAGUUCACAGCAAUGGCACGGACACAAUGGAAUCCUUAGAAGCCAUCUCUCACUGAAGAAUCAAAGCUCUCCAGCUUAUGCCUCAAUGAACAUCGACUUCCUCUGACUGGUGAGCAGCUUUUGGCUGGAUGUCCAAAGCACAACAAGGCACCUCAGGCCACAGCUCUUUAGUAAGCUACAAAGGACCACUGAAGAGAUUCUUUGGAUGUGUGCUAUUGUGGGAAGCACCGAGGUGAGACGACAAGAGCAUCCACUCAGGAAAGAGGAAGAAGCCAGGGAUACAUGGCUUGAGCAACGCAGUGUCAGCAGUUCAAGGUUCAGAACAACACUAAGAAGCAAUGGUGACUGCUAGAGGGAGCAGUGGAAAUACUGCCAAGUGCUACGAGCAGGGGCGGCUGUGCACAGAGGGAAUAAGCCGAGACAUCGUGAGGCUAGUUCCUGACAGUUCGAGACUCACACACGUCUAACCACUAUACAACAUAGCAUCAGGACUAAAAGGCAUACCAGGAGAAACCGCCAGCUUCUGACUGCCCCAUGGUUUGUCUACAACCUCAGAGGUGUCAUCCUAUCCUUCCUGCACAGGUCCUAGGAGGCCCCUUUGUCACCUGGAACUGUAUACCCACUCCCUACUAUUGCUACCGGCACUUGCACAACAGCACUGAGCGCUGGGUUCUGUGGGAAGAGACCCUUUCUAUGACUGGUUGGUUGCAGGUUUUACAUCACAUGAGGUGCUGAGGUCAAUCAAGGUCGGCAGUUGUGACCUCCAGGUCACUGCAAAGGUCUCAGCAUCCUUUCUCUUCCCAUUUGCAUUUCUGUUCUCCAGUUUAUACACCAGAAGAAAAGGGGUCUAGUGAUGCCCGAAGCUGAACUGUACAGCUUAAUGGCCAGAAACCAGACUUGUCACAUGUAAUCAAAUCAGCGUAGUGUUGGUGACAUAGUUAAGACAGUUGAAAAAUCAGUUGCUGUUCCAAGUUCUAAUUUUCAAGUUAUUGUUGGGGCUGAGACUUCUCUCACCUUGCAGCUUUUAUUUUGGAAGAACUCCAAAGCACACUUUUAGUCAUAUUUGAGUAAUUGAAACAUGAAAAAAAAAAAAAGCAAUGUUUCAGCCACAUUAAACUCUAACCAGAUGCUCUUAAAGUUUCUGUGUGUACACAUCACUCUUUACUCUGGCACAAAGCAGAGGAAAUGUGUCCACCAGACUGGAAAUACAGUACCCUUAAGAGCCACCAUAGCCUACUGACACAUUGCAUCUCCAAAGAGGAAGAAAAGGAGGCUCCUGUUGGCCUCUCCAGUUCUCCUCUCUCCUCAGAACGUGGGGAAUCCAAGCACAAUCAAGUUAGCGUUUACUGAGAGCCAGGAACAGUGCUGAAGAACAGCGGGAAGUUGGCAAGGAUUUAAUCAACGUACAAACUGAAAAUGACAUCUGUCUAGGAUUUUCAUAAGAAAGGCUGACACCAGGUUUCCACUUGAGUGGCCAAAGUUAGUGGCAGUUCUUUUCCUUCUAUUAACAAGAAGCAAAGGGAGAACGGGUUUGGGGGUUUAAAAUAAAAGCAAUGUGCCUGAGAAGUAAGCACUCUUACCAGCGGAGCUGCAUCCCAAGCACACCUGUACUCUCAGCACCAGGCAGGCGGAGGAAGAGGCAGGAGAGCUCAGAGUUCAGGCCAGUGUGCUCCUUAAUGAACCUGAGGCCAGUCUGGGAUACUUGGGACUUGGUCUCAAUAAUAUAAAUAAUGACAGGUUGACUUUAGGCUUUUAAUUCCAAUGUCACCAUCUCCUGUAAUCCCCUUCACUCUCAUUGUGAGUAUGCAAAGUAUGCGUGUGUGCAUGUGUGUAUAUGUGUAUGGAAGAGUGUGCAUUUAUGGCUGGGGAACACAGAGCCUCAGGGCACACUAGGUAAGUACUCUACCAUUGAACAAUCCCAGCCCUAACAUCUUAACAUCUAUCUAAAAUGUACAUAUGAUCAAUCACAAAAUGUUCUAAUGAAAACUCCACAGCAUUGUCCCUUGUAAUUAAAAUAAUAUCUAUGUAAGAAACAUUCAUUAUUAGUCUUUGCUGUCAACCUUUUUCUCUUUCUUUCUCCUCCCUUCCUCUCUCCCUCCUUUCCUUC